AUGAAGCAGCCGCUUUUGGAGCAGGAAACUUCUUCCUCAUCCGAGGCAACAGGCACUAAAUCACUCUUCACAGAUGCUGGAUGGUUCAGCAUCAUCACUUUUUCUUGGAUGGGCCCCUUACUUGAUCUCGGCAGAAAGAAACCGCUAGAUCUCCAUGACGUGCCGUCCUUGGAUGACAGCGACAGUGUCCAUGGGGUCCUCCCUAAUUUCAAGGCAAAGAUUGUGUCAAACUCUGCGACGGGCCAGUUCACCGACGCUACGGCGGUCAAGCUGGCCAAGGCAAUUGUGCUUACAACAUGGAAACCGAUCCUCGUCACUGCCGUCUACGCCCUACUCAGCAGUGUUGCUUCAUAUGUUGGUCCCUACCUGAUCGAGUACUUUGUCGACUACCUGAAUAAGAGCUCAAGGUCCAGCAGAGAGGGCUACCUUCUAGCGUUGACGUUUGUUGUCGCGCAGCUGAUCGAAGGCCUCUCGACGAGGCAUUUGCAGUUUAGAUCAAAACAAGUAGGGGUGCGUGCACGUUCGUCGCUUGUCGCUGCUAUCUACCAGAAAGGCCUUGCCCUCUCCAGUCAGUCCAGGCAAAGCAACUCGAGCGGAGAGAUGAUCAAUGUCGUGAGCCUCGAUGCCGAGUGUGUAGGAGAUUUCAGUCGAUCCAUGCACGAUCUUUGGCGGCUUCCUGUGCAAAUUGUUCUAGCCAUGCUCCUCUUAUACUCGACACUUGGUUUUUGCCCUGCAUUUGCUGCCCUUCUCGCCACUGCUUUGACAAUUGGGGGUAAUAAGCCUUUAGGGAGAAUGGAGCAAAAUUAUCAAGAGAAAAUGAUGAGCGCCAAGGAUGUGAGAAUGAGGGCUAUGUCUGAGAUCUUACAGAGCAUGCGCAUUCUCAAGCUUCAAGGAUGGGAAAUGAUCUUCUUGUCCAAGAUCAUAGAGUUGAGGAAGGUAGAGAUGAAUUGGCUAAAGAAGAACGUAUACACCUCGGCGAUGCUCCUAUCCAUCUUCUUUUCUGCUCCUGCUUUUGUUGCUAUGGUCACUUUCGGCGUUUGCGUGCUUAUGGGCAUUCCAUUAGAAACAGGUAAAGUGCUAUGUGCCCUGGCAACAUUUAGACAGCUGCAAACACCUAUCCAUGGUCUCCCAGACGCAUACUCUAUGAUCAUUCAGACAAAAGUAUCGCUUGACAGGAUAUGCUCAUUUCUCUGUCUUGAGGAACUCCCUAGUGAUGUUGUAACUAAGCUUCCUAGAGGUACCACCGAUGUAUCGAUUGAGGUGACGAGCGGUCAGUUCUCUUGGAAUACAUCUUCUCAAGUGCCUACUCUCCAAGACGUGAACUUCCAUAUACGACAGGGAAUGAGGGUUGCUGUCUGUGGAACAGUUGGAUCCGGCAAAUCAAGUUUAUUGUCUUGCAUACUCGGUGAGAUACCAAAGUUAUCAGGAGAGGUUAAAACUUGUGGCAGGAUCUCCUAUGUUAGCCAAACACCUUGGAUACAGAGUGGGAAAAUCGAAGAUAACAUACUUUUCGGCACAGAAAUGAAUAGGGAGAGGUAUGAAAAGGUCCUUGAAGCAUGCUCUCUGAUCAAGGACCUGGAUAUAUUACCAUUCGGUGACCAGACGAUUAUAGGAGAGAGAGGCAUUAACCUCAGUGGUGGACAAAAACAGAGGAUACAAAUAGCCCGUGCUUUGUACCAUGAUGCUGAUAUCUAUCUAUUUGAUGAUCCGUUUAGUGCAGUUGAUGCUCAUACUGGAUUGCACUUGUUCAAGGAGUGCUUGCUUGGAUUUUUAGCUUCAAAAACAGUUGUGUAUGUUACACAUCAUGUCGAAUUUUUACCUUCAGCCGACGUUAUCAUGGUCUUGAAAGAUGGGAAAAUAAUACAAGCAGGGGAUUACACUGAAAUACUUAAUUCUGGACAAGAAUUCACUGAAUUAAUUGUGUCCCACAAGGAUGCAUUAUCUACUAUGGACAUGUUGGAGCUCCCAAGUAGCAAUUAUGAAAGUAGUUGCCAUCUUAAUGGCAAUGGAAGCACCCUACCCAUAGCAGAUGAGCAAACACAUGAUAACAAUGAAGAAGUACUUGUUCAAAAUGGUCAACUUGUACAAGAAGAAGAGAGGGAGAAAGGCUGGGUUGGGUUUAUUGUCUACUGGAGAUAUAUUACAAUGGCACACAAAGGAGCAUUUGUGCCACUUAUUUUGCUAGCUCAGAUCAUUUUUCAAUCUCUUCAAAUUGGAAGCAAUUUAUGGAUGGCUUGGGCAGCUCCGGUAUCUAAAGAUGUGAAUCCUCCAGUCAAUAGCUCGACGAUGAUAAAUGUAUAUGUUGCAUUAGCUCUUGUUACCUCAUUGUGCGUCUUCAUACGAUCCUAUCUUCUAGUCAUGGCUGGAUGUAAGACUGCAACCAUGCUAUUUGACAAGAUGCACCGAUGCAUAUUCCGAGCACCGAUGUCUUUCUUUGAUUCCACUCCUAGCGGACGUAUCUUGAAUAGAGCCUCCACCGAUCAGAGCGCAGUGGAUACUCAAAUAUAUGAUCUGAUGGGCUACCUUCUAUUUCCUGCCAUCGAAAUUCUUGGAACAAUUAUUCUAAUGUCACGGGUUGCAUGGCCAGUCUUUGUAAUUUUUGUCCCUGUUAUUGUUGCAUCUCUAUCAUACCAGCAAUACUACAUAAGUGCUGCUAGGGAGUUGCAGAGGUUAACUGGAGUUUGCAGAGCUCCUGUGAUGCAGCAUUUUGCCGAAUCAAUAGCUGGCACAACUAUAAUUAGAUGCUUUGGUAAGGAAAGAGAGUUCAUCAGUUGGACUGGCCAAUUGAUGGAUAAUUUAUCUCGGGCAAGUUUAUAUAAUGCUGCUGCGAUGGAAUGGUUGUGCUUUCGCUUGGACUUUCUUUCUUCUUUUAUUUUUGGAUUUGCCUUGAUACUUCUGGUCACCUUGCCAACUGAUCUAAUUGACUCAAAGACAGCUGGCCUUGCAGUCACUUAUGGACUAAGUCUGAAUAUGCUACUAGGGUGGGCUAUUAUGGUCCUCUGUGCUUUGGAAAACAGAAUGAUAUCCAUGGAAAGAAUAUUGCAAUACAUGACCAUUCCUUCUGAACCGCCCCUUACGAUAUCAGAAAGUAGACCAGAUUGCCGUUGGCCAACAAAGGGUGAAAUUGAGCUUCGCAACCUUCAUGUAAAAUAUGCGCCACAUCUGCCUUUAGUUUUGAAAGGCGUGACGUGCACCUUCUCAGGAGGUAUGAAGACUGGUAUUGUUGGAAGAACAGGUGGUGGAAAGUCAACCUUGAUUCAAACGCUAUUCCGCAUUGUCGAUCCGUGUAUCGGGCAAAUAUUGAUAGAUGGCGUCGACAUCUCCACCAUUGGACUGCAUGACCUACGGACAAGACUGAGCAUCAUUCCACAAGAUCCUGUUAUGUUUGAGGGGACUCUGCGAAGCAACAUCGACCCUCUGGAUGAAUAUAGUGACGAGCAAAUCUGGGAGGCAUUGGACUGUUGUCAUCUUGGAGAUGAGGUUAGAAAGAACGAGCUUAAGCUCGACUCUACAGUCACAGAGAAUGGUGAAAACUGGAGCGCGGGUCAGCGGCAGCUUGUUUGCUUGGGAAGGGUGAUUCUAAAGAGGAGGCGGAUCUUAGUUCUGGACGAGGCAACUUCUUCAGUGGAUCCGAUAACCGACAGUUUGAUCCAGAAAACCUUGAAACAGCAAUUCGCCGAAUGCACCGUGAUCACGAUAGCACAUCGUAUCACAUCGGUUCUCGAUAGCGAGAGGGUUAUUCUUCUGGACAACGGUGAAAUUGCAGAGAACGACUCGCCAGCGAAGUUGCUAGAGGACAGUUCGUCCUUGUUCUCCAAACUUGUGUCGGAGUACACGAUGGGAUCAAAAUUAUAA
rnacentral:rRNA from 1 species